GUAACCGUGAGGUUAUAUCUGAAGAAAGCGAGACUACAAAACUCGGUACUGACCCUUCGGCUACGCUCAGGAUAAACCAAGCAGAAACCGUAUACAGAGGCAUAUUUACUUGGGUAAGCAAACACAUCAUUGUAACGCCCUAAGAACACAAAAAGGGUAAGUAUGUAGAUACGGCAGGGAUUGAGUGAAAGAAGAUGUU
rfam:Gillisia limnaea DSM 15749 genomic scaffold Gilliscaffold_2, whole genome shotgun sequence.